GAUGAACGCUGGCGGCGUGCCUAAUACAUGCAAGUCGAGCGAACAGACGAGGAGCUUGCUCCUCUGACGUUAGCGGCGGACGGGUGAGUAACACGUGGAUAACCUACCUAUAAGACUGGGAUAACUUCGGGAAACCGGAGCUAAUACCGGAUAAUAUAUUGAACCGCAUGGUUCAAUAGUGAAAGACGGUUUUGCUGUCACUUAUAGAUGGAUCCGCGCCGCAUUAGCUAGUUGGUAAGGUAACGGCUUACCAAGGCAACGAUGCGUAGCCGACCUGAGAGGGUGAUCGGCCACACUGGAACUGAGACACGGUCCAGACUCCUACGGGAGGCAGCAGUAGGGAAUCUUCCGCAAUGGGCGAAAGCCUGACGGAGCAACGCCGCGUGAGUGAUGAAGGUCUUCGGGUCGUAAAGCUCUGUUAUUAGGGAAGAACAAAUGUGUAAGUAACUAUGCACGUCUUGACGGUACCUAAACAGAAAGCCACGGCUAACUACGUG
rnacentral:rRNA from 1 species